UGGGGAAUAUUGCACAAUGGGCGAAAGCCUGAUGCAGCAACGCCGCGUGAGUGAUGAAGGCCUUCGGGUUGUAAAGCUCUGUCUUUUGGGACGAUAAUGACGGUACCAAAGGAGGAAGCCACGGCUAACUACGUGCCAGCAGCCGCGGUAAUACGUAGGUGGCAAGCGUUGUCCGGAUUUACUGGGCGUAAAGGAUGCGUAGGCGGAUUUUUAAGUGAGAUGUGAAAACCCUAAGCUUAACUUGGGGACUGCAUUUCAUACUGGAAAAUCUAGAGUGCGGGAGAGGAGAAUGGAAUUCCUAGUGUAGCGGUGAAAUGCGUAGAGAUUAGGAAGAACACCAGUGGCGAAGGCGAUUCUCUGGACCGUAACUGACGCUGAGGCAUGAAAAGCGUGGGUAGCAAAACAGGAUUAGAUACCCUGGUAGUCCACGCCGUAAAACGAUGAGUACUAGGUGUAGGAGGUAUCGACCCCUUCUGUGCCGCAGUU
rnacentral:rRNA from 1 species